rnacentral:lncRNA from 1 species
AUUGGGAUAUUUUUAAAGUCCCCCAGCUGAUUCUAAUUUACAGCCAAGAUUGCUAACCACAGUGCUAGGAAAUGGCCUCAGGCAGAUCUUUCGCGUAAGUGUAGAAAAAGUUCUCCGGGUUCCUCUUAGGGGAGAGACCAUUUUUAUCUGCUGCUCACUGAGAAGCAGAGAGAAAGGAGGCUGCCUAGUUGCCAGGAGGAACAUUGACCUGCCACAGCCUCCUACAUCUGUCCUAGAAGUGAAGUCCAUUUUCUGCUAAAGACAAAAAGAGAAGUGAAUUCCGUAAUCUACAAACCAAUUUCCUUCACUCCCUACUGGUGUUGGUGGCUUUCCUCGCGGGAUAACCCUGACCAUCCUGAGCCUCUGGUCACCCUGCUUCCUUCAAGUCUGAGUUGCACUAGUCCACUGGCCAUUAAGCUUAAGCAAGUGGAUCACGUCUUUAAUGGAACCCAUUACAGUUAUGCAAUUUUCCCUGGAAUGUGACAGCUUAUUAGAGAGUGCUCCGAAAAAAAUACCUAUGGAAAGGAAGAGAAAGAAGUAAGAUUGGGCAGAAGGAAAAGUUGGGCUGAGAUGCAGUCUCAAUGAAUGCCACAGCUGGCCUAGGGGGAGCUCUUGGUAUGGAUUGGCCUUGCAGAGGUUGUCCUGAGUUGAGGUCCUCUCACUCUAUCCUUCCUAACAACUUCAUAAUGAAGAUUAAUGGGACGUGGCUGGAUAUUCCAUGUCUUGCUGCAAGGGUGUUUACUGAAUUCUAUACUGGAUACUGACUCUGGGAAGCUCUCAAAGAAGCAAUGAAUUACAGAUAGAUUCUGGUUCUGCUGCUUCCUUCUGCCAAGUUGGUUCCAGAUCUCGCCAUUGGAGCUCUUUCCAUUGGCUCCUGUGUCCUUCAGCAUAUCUCCAUCUGUGUUGUCACCAGGAAUGAAUGUUGAAUUUUAUCAAAGGAAUUUUCAAUAUCUAUGGAGAUAUGAACUUUUUCUUUAUAUAGAAAAUGAUAUUAAUGGAUUAUUUUACAUUGAACCAACCUUGAAUUCCUGGAAUAAAUCUCAUUUGGUCAUGUUGUAUGUUUUACUUAAUGUUGGGUAGAAUUCUACUAAUGUUUUAUUUAGUAUUUUUACAUCAAUAUUGUUUUCCUGGCUGAAUUCAAGCUUCCUUGGUGAGGUGGAGAAUAAGAACAGACACCUUCUAAGGACUGAGUAUCUGUGCCCCUCCCAAAUUCAUGUGUUGAAGCCUCAAUACCAAUGUGAUGGAUUUCAGAGAUGGGGACUUUCGGAAGCAAUUAGGUCGUGAGGGUGGAGCCUUCAUAAUGGCAUUACAGCCCUUUUAUAAGAGACACAAAAGAGCUUGCUGGCUCGCUCUCUCUCUCUCUCUCUGCCGUGUGAGGAUCCAAGGAGAUGGCCAUCUGCAAACCAGGAAGAGGGCUCUCUCGGGAACCUGACCAUGCCGCACCAUCAGCUUGGACUUCCAGCCUCCAGAAUUGUGAGAGAGAAAUUUCUGUGGUUUAAGCCACCCUAUCUAUGGUAUUUGUUAUGGCAGCCUGAGCAGACUAAGGCAAGCCGUAAAGAGGAAAAUAUAAUAAAUUCUCCUGAAUUCUGUAUAACAUUAGCCAUUAAUCUACAUCAAUAUAUGGUGACGAUAUAUAAGUGGAAUGUACAAUGCAUAAAAUAUGCAUAUAUUAAGGUAAAGUAGGUAAUAAUGUUUAUCUUAAAUUACACAGACCCAUUUAGACUCUUUUGGUUUUAUAAUUUGGCUUGUUUUGUUACUAUCUCGAUGAAUUGCUUAUUCAUUUCAAAUUUUAUAACAUGUAUUUCUCCUUUGAGGAAAUGUAGACGAUUGAUAUUGGGAUAGAGCUUAAAUUGUGAGAAAUUACUCAACUGUGGUAAAGGGAAUACAUCAGAAGUAACACUUGGCUCACUAAAUUUUAUUUGAAUUAGGUGUCAAGUAAGCUAAGACGUGCAGGAGACAGCUGAUGGGGUAUGAAUUAAAUUUUAGGUUCUGCUCAUCAUUUGUUAGAAAUGGAAAUCAGUUUUCAAUAGUAUUCUCAUGUAUAAUUAAAACACAGAGCUAUGUAAUGUUUGGUA